rnacentral:rRNA from 1 species
AUUGAACGCCGGCGGCAUGCCUUACACAUGCAAGUCGAACGGCAGCACGGGAGCAAUCCUGGUGGCGAGUGGCGAACGGGUGAGUAAUAUAUCGGAACGUGCCCGGUCGUGGGGGAUAACGUAGCGAAAGCUACGCUAAUACCGCAUACGAUCUACGGAUGAAAGCGGGGAUCGCAAGACCUCGCGCGAUUGGAGCGGCCGAUAUCAGAUUAGGUAGUUGGUGAGGUAAAGGCUCACCAAGCCGACGAUCUGUAGCUGGUCUGAGAGGACGACCAGCCACACUGGGACUGAGACACGGCCCAGACUCCUACGGGAGGCAGCAGUGGGGAAUUUUGGACAAUGGGCGCAAGCCUGAUCCAGCAAUGCCGCGUGCAGGAUGAAGGCCUCGG